GACAACAUCCCUAAUGCGCCUUGAAAUGAGGAACUCAAAAGUCACGUGUAAAGAAAAAAUCUCUGUGUAGUGAUAUUGGACAUGUUUCUAUUUUUAACAAAUGACUGAACUUAAUUAUUUGUGGUGAUUAGGAAAGUAGAGGAACAUAGAAUAAAUGUGUAAAAACUAUGGAGCUAUUGAAUGUGUUCAAAGUAUUAAAUUUUCAAAGAACUUAUUGUGUUAAAAAGGGGAUAUUUUACCACAAGGAGCCGCAUCACAAAAGGAUGUUCGGGGUUUGCUAAUUUACGGAAAAAGUAAUCUCACUUCGUACCCCGAAAAUUUAACCACAUAUGUGAAAAUGUCACAGCUUCGAAACGAGCUAUCAUACAUAUCCAAGUUUACGAUAUGGACUGAGCUACAGGAAAAAACGUUACCAUUAUCGCCUAUGGGAAAACAAUUAAAGAUAUUGAGCCAAUUUACAAAAAGAUAAAUCAGAAGUUUCCAGAGUGAUCUAUGGAUGAUUUCACCUUGUACACCUGGGAAAAUUGUGAAAAUGAUGUUCCAGACAUAUCAUUACUUUUUAACCUGAGAUGACAAACUAGAGGUUUUACAAGGUCCUGAAUAACUGAAAUGGACAAAAAUACACAGAUUUAUUCAGAAUGUCAUACCGAUGAAGAUCACAUAAAAAUAUUUGGAAAAAUCAGAACUAUGGAUUGCAAUAUGGGACAACAUCCCUAAUGCGCCUUGAAAUGAGGAACUCAAAAGUCACGUGUAAAGAAAAAAUCUCUGUGUAGUGAUAUUGGACAUGUUUCUAUUUUUAACAAAUGACUGAACUUAAUUAUUUGUGGUGAUUAGGAAAGUAGAGGAACAUAGAAUAAAUGUGUAAAAACUAUGGAGCUAUUGAAUGUGUUCAAAGUAUUAAAUUUUCAAAGAACUUAUUGUGUUAAAAAGGGGAUAUUUUACCACAAGGAGCCGCAUCACAAAAGGAUGUUCGGGGUUUGCUAAUUUACGGAAAAAGUAAUCUCACUUCGUACCCCGAAAAUUUAACCACAUAUGUGAAAAUGUCACAGCUUCGAAACGAGCUAUCAUACAUAUCCAAGUUUACGAUAUGGACUGAGCUACAGGAAAAAACGUUACCAUUAUCGCCUAUGGGAAAACAAUUAAAGAUAUUGAGCCAAUUUACAAAAAGAUAAAUCAGAAGUUUCCAGAGUGAUCUAUGGAUGAUUUCACCUUGUACACCUGGGAAAAUUGUGAAAAUGAUGUUCCAGACAUAUCAUUACUUUUUAACCUGAGAUGACAAACUAGAGGUUUUACAAGGUCCUGAAUAACUGAAAUGGACAAAAAUACACAGAUUUAUUCAGAAUGUCAUACCGAUGAAGAUCACAUAAAAAUAUUUGGAAAAAUCAGAACUAUGGAUUGCAAUAUGGGACAACAUCCCUAAUGCGCCUUGAAAUGAGGAACUCAAAAGUCACGUGUAAAGAAAAAAUCUCUGUGUAGUGAUAUUGGACAUGUUUCUAUUUUUAACAAAUGACUGAACUUAAUUAUUUGUGGUGAUUAGGAAAGUAGAGGAACAUAGAAUAAAUGUGUAAAAACUAUGGAGCUAUUGAAUGUGUUCAAAGUAUUAAAUUUUCAAAGAACUUAUUGUGUUAAAAAGGGGAUAUUUUACCACAAGGAGCCGCAUCACAAAAGGAUGUUCGGGGUUUGCUAAUUUACGGAAAAAGUAAUCUCACUUCGUACCCCGAAAAUUUAACCACAUAUGUGAAAAUGUCACAGCUUCGAAACGAGCUAUCAUACAUAUCCAAGUUUACGAUAUGGACUGAGCUACAGGAAAAAACGUUACCAUUAUCGCCUAUGGGAAAACAAUUAAAGAUAUUGAGCCAAUUUACAAAAAGAUAAAUCAGAAGUUUCCAGAGUGAUCUAUGGAUGAUUUCACCUUGUACACCUGGGAAAAUUGUGAAAAUGAUGUUCCAGACAUAUCAUUACUUUUUAACCUGAGAUGACAAACUAGAGGUUUUACAAGGUCCUGAAUAACUGAAAUGGACAAAAAUACACAGAUUUAUUCAGAAUGUCAUACCGAUGAAGAUCACAUAAAAAUAUUUGGAAAAAUCAGAACUAUGGAUUGCAAUAUGGGACAACAUCCCUAAUGCGCCUUGAAAUGAGGAACUCAAAAGUCACGUGUAAAGAAAAAAUCUCUGUGUAGUGAUAUUGGACAUGUUUCUAUUUUUAACAAAUGACUGAACUUAAUUAUUUGUGGUGAUUAGGAAAGUAGAGGAACAUAGAAUAAAUGUGUAAAAACUAUGGAGCUAUUGAAUGUGUUCAAAGUAUUAAAUUUUCAAAGAACUUAUUGUGUUAAAAAGGGGAUAUUUUACCACAAGGAGCCGCAUCACAAAAGGAUGUUCGGGGUUUGCUAAUUUACGGAAAAAGUAAUCUCACUUCGUACCCCGAAAAUUUAACCACAUAUGUGAAAAUGUCACAGCUUCGAAACGAGCUAUCAUACAUAUCCAAGUUUACGAUAUGGACUGAGCUACAGGAAAAAACGUUACCAUUAUCGCCUAUGGGAAAACAAUUAAAGAUAUUGAGCCAAUUUACAAAAAGAUAAAUCAGAAGUUUCCAGAGUGAUCUAUGGAUGAUUUCACCUUGUACACCUGGGAAAAUUGUGAAAAUGAUGUUCCAGACAUAUCAUUACUUUUUAACCUGAGAUGACAAACUAGAGGUUUUACAAGGUCCUGAAUAACUGAAAUGGACAAAAAUACACAGAUUUAUUCAGAAUGUCAUACCGAUGAAGAUCACAUAAAAAUAUUUGGAAAAAUCAGAACUAUGGAUUGCAAUAUGGGACAACAUCCCUAAUGCGCCUUGAAAUGAGGAACUCAAAAGUCACGUGUAAAGAAAAAAUCUCUGUGUAGUGAUAUUGGACAUGUUUCUAUUUUUAACAAAUGACUGAACUUAAUUAUUUGUGGUGAUUAGGAAAGUAGAGGAACAUAGAAUAAAUGUGUAAAAACUAUGGAGCUAUUGAAUGUGUUCAAAGUAUUAAAUUUUCAAAGAACUUAUUGUGUUAAAAAGGGGAUAUUUUACCACAAGGAGCCGCAUCACAAAAGGAUGUUCGGGGUUUGCUAAUUUACGGAAAAAGUAAUCUCACUUCGUACCCCGAAAAUUUAACCACAUAUGUGAAAAUGUCACAGCUUCGAAACGAGCUAUCAUACAUAUCCAAGUUUACGAUAUGGACUGAGCUACAGGAAAAAACGUUACCAUUAUCGCCUAUGGGAAAACAAUUAAAGAUAUUGAGCCAAUUUACAAAAAGAUAAAUCAGAAGUUUCCAGAGUGAUCUAUGGAUGAUUUCACCUUGUACACCUGGGAAAAUUGUGAAAAUGAUGUUCCAGACAUAUCAUUACUUUUUAACCUGAGAUGACAAACUAGAGGUUUUACAAGGUCCUGAAUAACUGAAAUGGACAAAAAUACACAGAUUUAUUCAGAAUGUCAUACCGAUGAAGAUCACAUAAAAAUAUUUGGAAAAAUCAGAACUAUGGAUUGCAAUAUGGGACAACAUCCCUAAUGCGCCUUGAAAUGAGGAACUCAAAAGUCACGUGUAAAGAAAAAAUCUCUGUGUAGUGAUAUUGGACAUGUUUCUAUUUUUAACAAAUGACUGAACUUAAUUAUUUGUGGUGAUUAGGAAAGUAGAGGAACAUAGAAUAAAUGUGUAAAAACUAUGGAGCUAUUGAAUGUGUUCAAAGUAUUAAAUUUUCAAAGAACUUAUUGUGUUAAAAAGGGGAUAUUUUACCACAAGGAGCCGCAUCACAAAAGGAUGUUCGGGGUUUGCUAAUUUACGGAAAAAGUAAUCUCACUUCGUACCCCGAAAAUUUAACCACAUAUGUGAAAAUGUCACAGCUUCGAAACGAGCUAUCAUACAUAUCCAAGUUUACGAUAUGGACUGAGCUACAGGAAAAAACGUUACCAUUAUCGCCUAUGGGAAAACAAUUAAAGAUAUUGAGCCAAUUUACAAAAAGAUAAAUCAGAAGUUUCCAGAGUGAUCUAUGGAUGAUUUCACCUUGUACACCUGGGAAAAUUGUGAAAAUGAUGUUCCAGACAUAUCAUUACUUUUUAACCUGAGAUGACAAACUAGAGGUUUUACAAGGUCCUGAAUAACUGGUAAGCAUUUUGUUUUAUUUGGCAAGCUCUAAAUUGUUUAUUUAUG